rnacentral:rRNA from 1 species
GACGAACGCUGGCGGCGUGCUUAACACAUGCAAGUCGAACGGAAAGGCCCUGCUUGCAGGGUACUCGAGUGGCGAACGGGUGAGUAACACGUGGGUGAUCUGCCCUGCACUUCGGGAUAAGCCUGGGAAACUGGGUCUAAUACCGGAUAGGAGCCAUUUUUAGUGUGAUGGUUGGAAAGUUUUUUCGGUGUAGGAUGAGCUCGCGGCCUAUCAGCUUGUUGGUGGGGUAAUGGCCUACCAAGGCGGCGACGGGUAGCCGGCCUGAGAGGGUGGACGGCCACAUUGGGACUGAGAUACGGCCCAGACUCCUACGGGAGGCAGCAGUGGGGAAUAUUGCACAAUGGGCGCAAGCCUGAUGCAGCGACGCCGCGUGGGGGAUGACGGCCUUCGGGUUGUAGACUCCUUUCGCUAGGGACGAAGCUUUUUGUGACGGUACCUAGAUAAGAAGCACCGGCUAACUACGUG